UAAUACGUAGGGUGCGAGCGUUAAUCGGAAUUACUGGGCGUAAAGCGUGCGCAGGCGGUUCUGCAAGUCAGAUGUGAAAUCCCCGGGCUUAACCUGGGAACUGCGUUUGAAACUACGGAGCUAGAGUACGGCAGAGGGGGGUGGAAUUCCACGUGUAGCAGUGAAAUGCGUAGAUAUGUGGAGGAACACCGAUGGCGAAGGCAGCCCCCUGGGCCGAUACUGACGCUCAGGCACGAAAGCGUGGGGAGCAAACAGGAUUAGAUACCCUGGUAGUCCACGCCCUAAACUAUGUCAACUAGUUGUCGGGGAAGCAAUUCCUUGGUAACGAAGCUAACGCGUGAAGUUGACCGCCUGGGGAGUACGGUCGCAAGAUUAAAACUUAAAUGAAUUG
rnacentral:rRNA from 1 species